rnacentral:rRNA from 1 species
UACAUGGGGUGCAAACGUUGCUCGGAAUUAUUGGGCGUAAAGAGCGUGUAGGCGGCUUUGCAAGUCCGUUGUGAAAACUCGAGGCUCAACCUCGAGACGUCGGUGGAAACUGCAAAGCUAGAGUCCGGAAGAGGAGAGUGGAAUUCCUGGUGUAGCGGUGAAAUGCGCAGAUAUCAGGAAGAACACCCGUGGCUAAGGCGGCUCUCUAGUACGGUACUGACGCUGAGACGCGAAAGCGUGGGGAGCGAACAGG